CGGGGAGGUUUGGCACCUCGAUGUCGGCUCAUCACAUCCUGGGGCUGUAGUAGGUCCCAAGGGUUGGGCUGUUCGCCCAUUAAAGUGGUACGCGAGCUGGGUUCAGAACGUCGUGAGACAGUUCGGUCCCUAUCCGUCGCAGGCGUAGGAAAUUUGAGAAGACCUGUCCUUAGUACGAGAGGACCGGGAUGGACGUACCUCUGGUGUACCAGUUGUUCUGCCAAGGGCAUGGCUGGGUAGCUAUGUACGGAAUGGAUAAGCGCUGAAAGCAUCUAAGCGCGAAGCCAACUUCAAGAUAAGAUUUCCCACCGCAAGGGUAAGACCCCAGAAAGACUAUCUGGUUGAUAGGUCGAAGGUGUAAGUGCAGCAAUGUAUUUAGCUUAUCGAUACUAAUAGGUCGAGGACUUGACCAAAUU
rnacentral:rRNA from 1 species